rnacentral:rRNA from 1 species
UCCGCACGAGCGCACCCUCGUCCUUAGUUGCCAUCAUUAAGUUGGGCACUUUAAGGAGACUGCCGGUGACAAACCGGAGGAAGGUGGGGAUGACGUCAAGUCAUCAUGCCCCUUACAUCCUGGGCUACACACGUACUACAAUGCAACGGACAAAGGGCAGCCAACUAGCGAUAGUGCGCAAAUCCCAUAAACCGUUGCUCAGUUCAGAUUGCAGGCUGCAACUCGCCUGCAUGAAGGCGGAAUCGCUAGUAAUCGCAGGUCAGCAUACUGCGGUGAAUACGUUCCCGGGCCUUGGACACACCGCCCGU